UUAUAGCACUUCGCGCAAGGGAUAGGAGCGAAAAUCCUUUUGGGUUUCCCAAAAGAUUGUAGCGGAUAGCCCGACCCUUU
rnacentral:sRNA from 1 species